GUCCUGUCUUCCUGAGUAAAAGGAAGAUUACUCUUCCAGGUUGCUUUGUACUUAGCUUGCUACUCCUAUCUCUUUAUAUUUGCACGUGUGGACACAGACACCAACCCUCUUUCUUGUUAAUCAGAGCGAGGAAAGUUACCUGAAGGCUGUUGAUGGGAACAAGCUAUGGGGCCUGUAAUACCCACCACUGCUGUAAAAAGUUUGAAAACAUAAUACCAGAAGAAGAGGGGCCCAAUUCCAAACAGAGCUCCUAAGAGUGAAGUCCUGGUUGUGACUCUGCAAUUGGCUUAGAUAUUUGCUGAUCUUGCACAGGGCCAAGGAAUCAAGGCCAAGUCUUCAUUUCACCCUUAGCGCCUGGGGUUCCUUGCACUGGAGCAGGUACUUCAGUUUAAGUGGGGAUCUUAUGGUCAACCGCUGGGCU
ensembl:lncRNA